GAACGCAACUUGCGCCCUCUGGUAUUCCGGAGGGCAUGCCUGUUUGAGUGUCGUGAAAUUCUCAAACCGGGAUGCUUUUUUUUUGUUUCACGGCUUGGUUUUGGGCUUUGCAGUUCCUUUGAUUGGGAUGGCUGGCCUCAAAAGCAUUAGCUGGCUUUUCAUGUGAUAUUGGUUCUACUCAGCGUGAUAAUGAUCUGACCGCCGAGGACAUCUUUCGAGAUGGCCAAUUCUCAUUUGGGCUGCUUCUAAUUUUGGUAGAGCGGAUUCUGAAUCUGUUCCACUUUUUCAGCUUUUGACCUCGAAUCAGGUGGGACUACCCGCUGAACUUAAG
rnacentral:misc_RNA from 1 species